AUGAUGAAGGAGCACCAGCUAGACGCGAUCGUGGCGCCUAACAGCGCUAUAUCUAGCCUUCUUGCCAUCGGUGGCCACCCUGGCAUCGUUGUGCCGGCUGGUUACAACGAGAAGGGGGUCCCCUUCGGGGUAUGUUUUGGUGGGCUGCAGGGGUACGAGCCGAGGCUGAUCGAGAUGGCCUAUGCUUUCGAGCAGGCUACCAAAGUUAGGAGGCAACCUAUGUUCAAGCCCUAG
rnacentral:rRNA from 1 species